GGGUCUAUCAGUGACCCAUGUCAGCACCGGGUUACUGCCCGCCCACCGGACUUAGAUUUCAAAGAGAAGUCUCAGCACGUUUGAUAAACCGAGGAUGGACUGGGACGGUUAGUAUCAGAGCCGCUGGGAACGAGAUCACUGCCGCUGGCUGGCGGGGCAGGGCCCCCAGCAUCUGAGAACGCAGGUCGGGCUCAGCCUGCGCGCAUGCGCGGGGCUCCGGGUCGCAGCUGAGCGAAGCCACGCCCACCGCCUGCAGCCGGGACCCCUGCCUCAGGGUCGGGGCGCACUUAGCGCUCCACUGCCACGUAAACGAAUAUCACAACGGCAGUUCCAUCAGCAUCUUUUGUCAAAAAGGAACAAACAAAGCUGCUUAGAAGCUGGCCAGCCCGGAACUAAGUGCCCUCUUCAGACUGGCUGCGACCUGCUGGCCCGGGGGCUGUCUCUCUGCCUGGGGCCUAAUGCUUGAGGUUCCAGGGCCACGGCCUGCUGCCUGGGGUCUGUCGUGGGGACUCCAGACUUGCUCUCUUUGUCUCCCCAUUAGUGACUGAGGAACCCUGUACCUCCCUUCAAAACUAUUGAUUCCGAAACAGGUUCUUUGAUAAGAGGCAGCUUUGCCUGAGGCUUGGCGGUGACUUUUAGAGGGUUGUUUAUCCUUGGAGAAGGAUUUUAAAUGAUCGCUCCCCUGAGGCGAACCGUGCGCCAAGAAAAGAAGGCACAGACAUUGCUUUGUAGAACGAAGCUGGCUCAUUUCCACUCCGGACCCAAACCUACCAAUCUGAUUAUUUAUUGGGUGAGUGCAGAUGUCUGGACAGUAUUCACUUUUUUAUUAAUGCAUCUGGUUCAUAAGCAUCACCCGAGCGUCUGCACAGGCCAGGUGUGUGCCGCAGAGGGCAGGCUGGCUCAGGAGAGGUGGUUCUGCCCACCAGGCUUUGCAUUCUCCGGAAGCUGAUGCUGAGGACGGGAGUGGGGUCCCUGCCUUCCGGGUCCCCUCGCGGGAGUCUCCCUUCACAGAGGCUAUCCCCUCACAAACUCAGCUUUCCUCCCUGGAGGUGUGUGUGCCUUGCUCCCCAGCGACCUGGCUUGUGUUGGGCCGGCACUGUACCAUGCGCCUGGCAGCUGGAAAAUCAGCACAGGAAUUGAGUGGCAUACAGGUGCAAAGAUGCAUCUGCCUGCAGGCAUAUUUUUGCAGACCAGAGAGAAAUCCAAAAAGAGCAGGUCUCGCUAUCACGCGGAGGGGUUAGGGAGCUGGCUCCCGUGAUCACCGCAGGGCAUUGGUACAGAGACUGUGACGAUGAAGCCAGCCCUUCUAACCCGAGUCCCGCUCGUGAAGCUCACCCUCUGGGGGAGAAGUGUGACUCCAGGAGGAGAAAGCGUCUGCAUUCCCCAUCCCACAAAGACACCCUCCCCCCAGAGGGGCACCGUCCUGGGGCAGCCAGCGGGACCCUGGGGGGCAGGACCUGCCAUCCCCCCUGAAAUUCUGCCAUGCACGCUGUGAGGCCAGGACCGUCCUUGGGAAGAGGACCGCGUGGGGCAGAGAUGAGAGGCCUGGGACUCACGGUCCUGGAGGCUGAGGCAAAAUGGAGUUGGCUGCCUUGAAACCUCAUUUCAUGGAGCUUAGCUUCAUUCAACAAACACUCCUGAGUUCCCUCUGGCCCCCAGCUGGGAGAGGCAGACAGCCAACAGCCGGCGGGCAGGGUACUAAGGCCGAAAACUCAGACGAGAUCAGAAGAGUCCCCUUGGGCCCUUUGACUCCAUUUUAGAGACAAACACACAUCUAGAAGCAAAUACCUCUAGGAUUUAUGGGCAGGACAUGUGACGUAGUGGUCCUUGGGGGGUUUCGCAUUCAGAGAGGAAGGGGCAGUGAAGGGCCCAUCCGCCUGCCUGGGGCAGAGGGGUGGUGAGGAUGAAAGGCAAGGGGGCUCUCCCCAUCUACUGGCUCAGAAUCCCACUGGCUCAGAGGCAGAAUCCCCCUGCUUCAGGCACGGCAGCCUUCACCCCACCUGGAUCUGGCUUCACGGGGUCAGCCUCCUGCUGGCCUCUGAACUCUGACCCCAGCUCCUGCCAGCACACAGGAUUCCACCCAGGAGGUCCUGAAUUGCCAGCUGGAGAAGUCAUCCUUCUGGAGAACGCGUCCAGAGGAGCAGAGCCCACCCUUAGGAGGAGAAACAUGCCGCUUUCGGUUUCCAGGACACGGGAUUGCACCAAGCCAUCACAAAGGACUUUAACUGCUGCCAAGAAAUACUUCUGAACAUCGGUCCUCAGAUUGGCAGUGUUGUUUGAGAAGUUUGCCCAAAAAACUUUACUUUUUCUGACAUUUUUCUUCACCUCUUAUUCCCUUAAAAUUGGUUGUUGUUAUUACGUCACUCAGUCGUGUCUGACUCUUUGUGACCCCACGGACUGCAGCACGCCAGGCCUCCCUGUCCAUCACCAACUCCUGGAGCUUGCUCAAACUCAUGUCCAUCAAGUCGGUGAUGCCAUCCAACCAUCUCAUCCUCUGUUGCCCCCUUCUCCUCCUGCCCUCAAUCUUUGUUACAGAUUUAUUCCCAGUAUACCAAUAGCUCUAUUUUAACAUUUUUGGAUAAAAAGUCAAAGUUCUAUGGGAAGAAGUUCUUGAUAUACUUAUUAAGUGAAAAGUUUAUUUAAAGCAGUUUCAUCAUCCAGUGCUUCAUCUGUAAAUAUAUAGAUGCUUUACUAUUUGAGAAUUAGCUACACAGAAAUUGCUGUGUGUUGUCUCUGGAUUGUAGACUAUAGGCUGCCCCUGCUCCCCCUUCCUCUCCUCAUCUUUAACUGUACUUUCUAAACUUUCUACAAUGGUUUCAAUUGCUUUGUAAUAAAAAUAUUAAAGCAAAAAAUGCUUACUCUAAGUUGAAAGAAAAUAAAUGAAAAUUGAAAUAUA